rnacentral:rRNA from 1 species
GUGGGGAAUUUUGGACAAUGGGCGCAAGCCUGAUCCAGCAAUGCCGCGUGCAGGAAGAAGGCCUUCGGGUUGUAAACUGCUUUUGUACGGAACGAAACGGUCCUGGCUAAUACCCGGGGCUAAUGACGGUACCGUAAGAAUAAGCACCGGCUAACUACGUGCCAGCAGCCGCGGUAAUACGUAGGGUGCGAGCGUUAAUCGGAAUUACUGGGCGUAAAGCGUGCGCAGGCGGUGCUGUAAGACAGGCGUGAGAUCCCCGGGCUCAACCUGGGAAUUGUGCUUGGCACUGCAGUGCUGGAGUGCGGAAGAGGGGGAUGGAAUUCCGCGUGUAGCAGUGAAAUGCGUAGAGAUGCGGAGGAACACCGAUGGCGAAGGCAAUCCCCUGGACCUGUACUGACGCUCAUGCACGAAAGCGUGGGGAGCAAACAGGAUUAGAAACCCUGGUAGUCC